UCUGACUGGGCUUUUGAAGUAAGAAAAAAGAUUUCAGCAGGAAGCAAUGAAGUAGGAGAACAUUCCAGUGUGGGGUAUGGCCAGCAUCAAUGAAUGUGGAAUGUGGGAGCAGCUAAUAGUUCAUGUUAGAAAAAACAGAUAGUGUAUGGAAGGGAGUGAUGUCGAAUAAGGCUGGGAAGAAACAUGAUGCCCAGAAAGCCUUCCAUUCUUUGGACAGAAGACUGGAUCCAUGAACUCUUGAACUUGAGACUACUCACAAAGCUAUCCCAAAGGUGUCACUGCCUAAAAGAUCCUCUUCUUAUCUGCAACAUUGGUUUUACUACAUAUGCCUAAAUCAGACGACCUAAGACCGAGUCACCAAAGGGUCAAAAGUCUGCUUCUGGACGAAGACAUUCUGCAUUCCCCUACUACAAGUUUAGGAACAACCUCUUUCCAUAGACUGUAUGGGUGGAAUAUGUUGCAUCUUUAAAAGUACCAGACUGGACCAGUCUUUCUCUCAUUCUUUCCCUCUGGCAGCAUCUAGGAACUGAUGGUCUUGUUUACCCACGUACAAGCACCAUUUACUGACCUGGGCAUGUGUGGAAAGGUCCACUUGUCCCCUCCCCUUUAGGCUUCUAGCCAUGAGAAAUGGUCUUGAGGUUUUAAUCUGUUUCAUUUACCCUUUUCAGUUCUAAACAUAGGCAGUGAAUUCCCCAGACCUUAGAGCAUGAGCCAUGGUAAACUUGGAGUCUAGGUUGCAGAUCACAUGUUGCUGCCAGCGCAAGGGAAGCCCUGAGAAGACAAGGGAAUUUUGGCUUGGAAUUUAGUGGGACUAGUUAAACUGUGAACCUCAUCCACUUCCCUCCCCAGACACUAAGGUAAUAUAAAGGAGAAUUAUGUUGCAAACCUACCCUCUCCCUGUGUGGUGUUUACACGUCUGUCUUUGCUAUACCUUUGAAGUAAAU